rnacentral:rRNA from 1 species
GACGAACGCUGGCGGCGUGCUUAACACAUGCAAGUCGAACGCUGAAGCUUGGUGCUUGCACUGGGUGGAUGAGUGGCGAACGGGUGAGUAAUACGUGAGUAACCUGCCCUUGACUCUGGGAUAAGCCUGGGAAACUGGGUCUAAUACUGGAUACGACAUGCCACUGCAUGGUGGUGUGUGGAAAGGGUUUUACUGGUUUUGGAUGGGCUCACGGCCUAUCAGCUUGUUGGGGGGGUAAUGGCCUACCAAGGCGACGACGGGUAGCCGGCCUGAGAGGGUGACCGGCCACACUGGGACUGAGACACGGCCCAGACUCCUACGGGAGGCAGCAGUGGGGAAUAUUGCACAAUGGGCGGAAGCCUGAUGCAGCGACGCCGCGUGAGGGAUGACGGCCUUCGGGUUGUAAACCUCUUUCAGCACGGAAGAAGCGAGAGUGACGGUACGUGCAGAAGAAGCGCCGGCUAACUACGUG